AGUACACGAAUAAGUGGUAGUCCAAUUUUACAUAUUCCUCUUUUCCACGCACUCUUAACUAACCCACAACCUACCAAAAUAAAUUUGGCUUUGAUUGUCUUAAUUGCCAACAUGCCCCAACGAAUGAGCUGGACAACGCUCCAUUGGUUUCUUUUGUUAGAAAAACUGCACUGAACACCUCAUGCUUUCUCUACAGGUAAAUCUAAUUCUGAGUCCAAAGCUCUAGGAAUUCAUCAAUAACAAACUUCUCAUACAUAGCUCUAGGAAUCCAUCAAUAACAAACUUCUCAUAUAUCUCACAAUGCACAUACAAAAUCCCAGCUACCGAAAACUCACCAAAAACAUCAUUAAACUUCAAAUCCAUAAACUUCAUCGGAAAAACAAACAAUAAAAUAAAAACAUACCGGCAUCAUCAUCAUCCAUGUCAUUAGUUUCUUCUUCAGAGUGAAAUCGUUUCAGAAUGUCGAGAUUUUUCUGUUUCGUUUCAUCAUGGGCCCCAAUUGCCCCAGCUCCCCACCACAUUCUCGCGCAUAAACAAUUCGGUACACCUGAGACUGCUCAAUCAAAUGAAAUCACAGAACAAUCAAACACAAAAUCACAACAAAAAUAAAUAAAAUAAAAUAAAUCUGUACAAAUUUGCAUACGUACCUUAUAGCAGUGCAGCGGUAGUGUGAGUUUCAUCAGGGAUAUGUGUACUGCAAAAAGUAAAGAUAACAAAUUUAUCAAUCUUAAAUUCUUUACCUUGGCUUUUGAUUGAAUAAAAUCAUCUAAAUUAAGAGGCCUUAACUCCUCCAAUUGGAUUUAUCUCUUAUUGGUAUGGGGGUAUGAACUGUGAUAGGAAGUGUAAAUUUAAAAUGGUGAUUGAAUCACCCAUUUAUUAAUGGAACCUAGAGAAGAAAAAAAAAAACGCAGAGAGAGAGAAUGGUCCAUAUGGCUACAGAGAAGCUGGGAGAAAAUUAAC
rnacentral:lncRNA from 1 species